ACUUAGUAGACCACAGGGAUUGCCCUAGUAACGGCGAGUGAAGCGGCAACAGCUCAAAUUUGAAAUCUGGCUCUUUCAGAGUCCGAGUUGUAAUUUGCAGAGGGCGCUUUGGCUUUGGCAGCGGUCCAAGUUCCUUGGAACAGGACGUCACAGAGGGUGAGAAUCCCGUACGUGGUCGCUAGCUAUUGCCGUGUAAAGCCCCUUCGACGAGUCGAGUUGUUUGGGAAUGCAGCUCUAAAUGGGAGGUAAAUUUCUUCUAAAGCUAAAUAUUGGCCAGAGACCGAUAGCGCACAAGUAGAGUGAUCGAAAGAUGAAAAGCACUUUGGAAAGAGAGUCAAACAGCACGUGAAAUUGUUGAAAGGGAAGCGCUUGCAGCCAGACUUGCUUGCAGUUGCUCAUCCGGGCUUUUGCCCGGUGCACUCUUCUGUAGGCAGGCCAGCAUCAGUUUGGGCGGUGGGAUAAAGGUCUCUGUCACGUACCUCUCUUCGGGGAGGCCUUAUAGGGGAGACGACAUACCACCAGCCUAGACUGAGGUCCGCGCAUCUGCUAGGAUGCUGGCGUAAUGGCUGUAAGCGGCCCGUCUUGAAACACGGACCAAGGAGUCUAACAUCUAUGCGAGUGUUUGGGUGUCAAGCCCGAGCGCGUAAUGAAAGUGAACGGAGGUGGGAACCCGCAAGGGUGCACCAUCGACCGAUCCUGAAGUUUACGGAAGGAUUUGAGUAAGAGCAUGGCUGUUGGGACCCGAAAGAUGGUGAACUAUGCUUGAAUAGGGUGAAGCCAGAGGAAACUCUGGUGGAGGCUCGCAGCGGUUCUGACGUGCAAAUCGAUCGUCAAAUUUGGGCAUAGGGGCGAAAGACUAAUCGAAUAUCUAUACUGUCCGCGAACCCC
rnacentral:rRNA from 1 species